rnacentral:tRNA from 1 species
UGCGCGGCGGAGGAGUGGCUGUCCUCGCGAGCCCCAUGAGCUCGAGAUCGUGGGUUCGAAUCCCACCCGCGCGA